GUAUCCUGGCUCAGGAUGAACGCUAGCUACAGGCUUAACACAUGCAAGUUGAGGGGCAUCAGGAAGAAAGCUUGCUUUCUUUGCUGGCGACCGGCGCAUGGGGUGAGUAACACGUAUCCAACCUGCCCUUUACUCGGGGAUAGGCCUUUCGAAAGAAAGAUUAAUACCCGAUGGCAUAAUGAUUCCGCAUGGUUUCAUUUAUUAAAGGAUUCCGGUAAAGGAUGGGGAUGCGUUCCAUUAGGUUGUUGGUGAGG
rnacentral:rRNA from 1 species